UCCCACCCACGACCGCACACCGCCCGGCGUCCCUCUCCCUGUCUCCCAUCUGCACACGCCGCCCCGCCCAACCCAACCGCCAGCUUUCCCACACCGCCGCUCGAGCCCUAGGACGCCGCCACAUCGUCUACCAUGAGUGGAUGGCUUGUUCUUGCUCGGCGACCUGCCUGAGGAUCAGAUCGAUGGCCCGGGCCGCCAGAUCGAUGGGCGAAGGGGCGUGAUGAAGACAACAAAGGUAGCAACGACGGUGGCCGGAUCAAAGCACAGUGACGGAGGAGCUGAAGGACAGGCUGCUCCCAAGCCACCAUUAUCAGAUUUCACGGACGAAGGGCACGGGCGCAAGAAGCUGACUACGCUCGUUGCGCAUCGGUGCGUGGAGGUGGUGGUAGGGUCCUCUUGGUGGUGAUGAUUGGCAAGCUGACCAAAGCUCAGCAGAAGGAGCUAAAAGAAAUAAGAACGAUCAUGGCAUUAAUCACCAGAAGGAUGAUGUUAGUAGUUUCAAAUAGAUUUCAACCGCAGUAGGUGGUGAACAUCGGGGACAGCGCGACGAGAUAAACAACGGGCGUGGUUGUGGUAGAGUUCUCAGCAGUUGGGCUCCCCGCCGUCAUGUGAUGGAAGCCUACUAAUUAUUGGUUGGGUUCUCUACUCUGUCUAUUAGAGUUGUAUGAUUCCCACCAGCCUACUGAUUACGUGUUUGCAAUUGAUGAUGAGUAGGUCAUGUACUCAUAUGCCACAAAAUUCCCACCAGAUCAACAGUUUAUAGUUUCAUCAGCAUUACAUAAUCUCACCAUUUUGUGGACUGAACAUAUCUUACUUUGACAUAGAGGAACCUAACAUUAUACUGUAUGACUAUUUCGGUAGAGGUAGAUAAGAACUUGCUGAAUGCAGUCAUAUAUUGUCCAAGAGUAGGGUACUCUGUUGUUCUGUUGGUCCAAAAUUCAUUCAGAAUCUUUGUCAGAGCCAUUUUAUUUAUUGCCCUAACCACAGGUUUCAG